GCUACACACGCUCACACUUUCAAGUUCCCUUGGAGGGAGAGGAGGUGGGGCUGCAGAAAGAGGAGGCCAGGAGCAGUUGCAUCCGUCCCGUCCCGUCUCCCCCCUUUCCUCCUGCUCCCUGCACCCUGCCUCUGCGAGAGUUGAAGGUUCGGGUGGCAGUCCGCGGCAGUGAGGGCAAGAGGGCAGCGGAGCCAGGGGUGCGGGGGAAGAUGCCCAUCCUGCUGUUCCUCAUAGACACGUCCGCCUCUAUGAACCAGCGCACUGACCUGGGCACCUCCUAUUUGGACAUUGCCAAAGGCGCUGUGGAGUUAUUCUUGAAGCUGCGCGCCCGGGACCCGGCCAGCCGCGGAGACAGGUACAUGCUGGUCACCUACGACGAACCCCCGUACUGCAUCAAGGCUGGUUGGAAGGAAAAUCACGCAACAUUCAUGAGUGAACUAAAAAAUCUUCAGGCUUCUGGACUGACUACUCUUGGUCAGGCUCUAAGAUCCUCAUUUGAUUUGUUAAAUCUCAAUAGAUUAAUAUCUGGAAUAGACAAUUAUGGACAGGGGAGAAAUCCAUUUUUUUUAGAACCAUCUAUUUUAAUUACCAUCACAGAUGGAAACAAGUUAACAAGUACUGCUGGUGUUCAAGAAGAGCUUCAUCUUCCUUUGAAUUCUCCUCUGCCUGGAAGUGAACUAACCAAAGAACCUUUUCGUUGGGAUCAAAGGUUAUUUGCCCUGGUGUUGCGUUUACCUGGAUUGGCUUCUCUGGAAACAGAGCAUCUAGGGAGUGUACCAACUGAUGAGUCUGCCAUCACACAGAUGUGUGAAGUCACCGGAGGUCGCUCCUACUGUGUUAGAACACAAAGGAUGUUGAAUCAGUGUUUAGAAUCUCUAGUUCAGAAAAUUCAGAGUGGUGUCGUUAUUAACUUUGAAAAAACGGGACCAGAUCCACUUCCUGUCGGAGAAGAUGGACUUACGGAUUCAUCCAGGCCAAGCAAUUCAUUUGCUGCUCAACCAUGGCAUAGUUGUCAUAAGCUCAUUUAUGUACGACCUAACUCAAAAACCGGUGUUCCUGUCGGACACUGGCCAAUUCCAGAGUCUUUUUGGCCAGAUCAGAAUUUACCUUCACUACCUCCACGAACGUCUCAUCCUGUUGUGAGGUUCUCCUGUGUAGAUUGUGAGCCAAUGGUAAUAGACAAACUUCCUUUUGACAAAUAUGAACUUGAACCUUCACCCUUAACCCAAUACAUCCUGGAACGAAAGUCUCCCCACACCUGCUGGCAGGUAUUUGUCACUAGCAGUGGAAAAUACAAUGAACUUGGUUAUCCAUUUGGUUAUUUAAAAGCCAGUACGACUUUAACUUGUGUAAACCUCUUUGUGAUGCCGUACAACUACCCAGUUUUACUCCCUCUUUUAGAUGACUUGUUUAAAGUUCACAAGCUUAAGUCAAAUCUGAAGUGGCGACAGGCUUUUGACAGCUACUUAAAAACUCUGCCUCCAUACUACUUAUUACCAUUAAAGAAAGCACUAAGGAUGAUGGGAGCUCCAAAUCUGAUAUCAGAUAAUUUAGAUUGUGGACUUAGUUACAGUGUUAUCUCUUACCUUAAAAAACUCAGCCAACAGACCAAACUAGAGUCAGAGCGGAUACUAGCAUCCGUGGGGAAGAAACCUCCCCAGGAAAUCGGAAUCAAAGUGAAAAAUCAUUCUGGAGGUGGCGUGUCCUUUACCCACAGUAAAAAUUUUAGAAAACUAUUGAAAGAAAUCAUAGGGGAAAGUGCACCAAGACUGACCGAAUGGAAUACCAAAGAAUUUGCUGGCUUCCAAGUCGGGCUCUUAAACAAGGAUUUGAAACCUCAGACAUACAGAAAUGCUUAUGACAUUCCACGUAGAGGUCUUUUAGACCAGUUAACCAGAAUGAGAUCCAAUCUGCUGAAAACACACAAGUUUAUUGUUGGACAAGAUGAAGAUUCCCUUCAUAGUGUUCCAGUCGCACAAAUGGGUAACUAUCAGGAAUACCUAAAGACAUUGGCUUCUCCGCUUCGAGAGAUUGAUCCAGAUCAACCAAAAAGACUACAUACUUUUGGCAAUCCAUUCAAACAAGAUAAGAAGGUAAAGUACCUGUUUCUAAAUCUGCCUAAAUUGUGAUAUUCUUGCUAUAAUUCCUUUCUUCUGGGCAAGGUGAAUAUGAAUCAGAGGUUCUCUCUCUGUUUGUUGACAAGAUAAAAUAGGACUCCAGGGCUCUUUGUGAAUGGAAGGUGGGAGCCUCCCGAUACAAAGUAGUUCUGCAGAUGAGUGUUACCGUCUGCCCUUUCAUCAGAAGAAAUCAAGGCUCACGGUGGUCAAGGGGCAUGCUCUGAGUAACAUAGCUGGUAAGAGCCAGGAUCUGAACCCACAUCUUUCCAGCUCCAGAGUCUGUAUUCAUCCCCACCUCUACACACUAAUUCCUUUAAUAUUGAGAUCACCAGUUAUUUCCCCUUUCCAUUACUCAGAUCUCUAGCACUCUAGCUAGACAGUGAUCAAGCGUUUAUCUUGAAAUAGGAAGUACUACGUGAUGUUGCUUUAUUUGGAUUGUCCUACUAGAGAGCUAAAUGUGAGGUGUGUGCGUGUGUGUGUGUGUGUGUGAGAGAGAAAGAGAGAGAGAGAGAGGCUGACUUGACCAUCUAAGGAUGAAGACAAAUGGAGAUUCUGUUUGCAUGCAUGGAGACCCAUUGGUGGUAAGGUGCGGGCCAUACAAUAAUCUGUGUGGUAUACAAAGCUAGACUGAAAGAGAUUCCACCUAACCCCAAUCCUCAAUCAAUUGGACUUUUUCUUAAUCCUUCUGUGCCUUGGUCUCCUCAUUUGUACCACUGGGGAUAAUUACUGCGCUUAUUAGAGCCCUGUGUGGUAUUGAGUUAAUGCAUGUACCCAUUUCAAACAUGACCUGACAUGCAGUAAAUGCUCAGGAUGUCUGGUUUCCCCUUUCUGUACUGCGUUGCUUUGGAAAACACCUUGGAAAAGUCAUGUGUCAUGAUUUUAUGAAAAUAUUUUCAUUUUCUUAGGUUAUCCUUGGAUGGGAACAGCUUUUAGCUAACCUUCUGCACUGCUGGCUCUCAUCUUUCACCUACCCGCAAGGAUGCAAAG